GCUAACCUCGGGCCAGCAGCCGCGGUAAGACGAAGGAUUCAAGCGUUAUCCUGAUUCAUUGGGUUUAAAGGGUGCGUAGGCGGACUAAUAAGUCAGUGGUGAAAUCUCCGGGCUUAACCCGGAAACUGCCAUUGAUACUGUAAGUCUUGAGUACAGAUGAUGUUGGCGGAAUAUGACAUGUAGCGGUGAAAUGCAUAGAUAUGUCAUAGAACACCGAUUGCGAAGGCAGCUGACAAAACUGUAACUGACGCUGAGGCACGAAAGUGCGGGGAUCAAACAGGAUUAGAUACCCGUGUAGUC
rnacentral:rRNA from 1 species